UACGGGGGGAGCAAGCGUUGUUCGGAUUUACUGGGCGUAAAGGGCGCGUAGGCGGCCACUGCAAGUCGGUUGUGAAAUCUCCGGGCUUAACCCGGAAAGGUCAAUCGAUACUGCAGGGCUAGAGUGCAGAAGGGGCAACUGGAAUUCUCGGUGUAGCGGUGAAAUGCGUAGAGAUCGUAAGGAAGACCAGUGGCGAAGGCGGGUCUCUGGACAGUUCCUGACACUGAGGCACGAAGGCCAGGGGAGCAAACGGG
rnacentral:rRNA from 1 species